rnacentral:rRNA from 1 species
CCUACGGGGGGCAGCAGUGGGGGAUAUUUCACAAUGGGGGGAACCCUGAUGCAGCGACGCCGCGUGGGUGAAGGAGUAUUUCGGUAUGUAAAGCCCUAUUGGCAGGGAAGAAUUUAGACGUUACCUGACUAAGAAGCCCCGCCUAACUACGUGCCAGCAGCCGCGGUAAUACGUAGGUGGCAAGCGUUAUCCGGAUUCACUGGGUGUAAAGGGGGCGUAGACGGCCAGGCAAGCCUGGAGUGAAAUCCCGGGGCCAAACCCCGAGACUGCUAUGGGAACUGUCAGGCUGGAGUGCGGUAGGGGCAGGCGGAAUUCCUGGUGUAGGGGUGAAAUGCGUAGAUAUCAGGAGGAACACCGGCGGCGAAGGCGGGCUGCUGGACCGCGACUGACGUUGAGGCUCGAAAGCGUGGGGAGCGAACAGGAUUAGAUACCCGAGUAGUC